UACAGAGGGUGCAAGCGUUGUUCGGAAUUAUUGGGCGUAAAGGGCGCGUAGGCGGCCCUGGUAAGUCUGCGGUGAAAGCCCGGGGCUCAACCCCGGGUCGGCCGCGGGUACUGCCGGGCUGGAGUGCCGUAGGGGCAGGCGGAAUUCCGGGUGUAGCGGUGGAAUGCGUAGAGAUCCGGAAGAACACCGGUGGCGAAGGCGGCCUGCUGGGCGGCGACUGACGCUGAGGCGCGACAGCGUGGGGAGCAAACAGG
rnacentral:rRNA from 1 species